UACGUAGGGGCCAAGCGUUGUCCGGAUUUAUUGGGCGUAAAGAGCUCGUAGGCGGUUGGGUAAGUCGGGUGUGAAAACUCCAGGCUCAACUUGGAGAUGCCACCCGAUACUGCUCUGACUUGAGUUCGGUAGGGGAGUGGGGAAUUCCUGGUGUAGCGGUGAAAUGCGCAGAUAUCAGGAGGAACACCGGUGGCGAAGGCGGGUCUCUGGGCCGUAACUGACGCUGAGGAGCGAAAGCGUGGGGAGCGAACAGG
rnacentral:rRNA from 1 species